GACAGAGGGUGCAAACGUUGUUCGGAAUUACUGGGCGUAAAGCGCGUGUAGGCUGACCGGAAAGUCGGGCGUGAAAGCCCUGGGCUCAACCCAGGAACUGCACUCGAAACUCCCGGUCUAGAGUGGUGGAGAGGGAAGUGGAAUUCCUGGUGUAGAGGUGAAAUUCGUAGAUAUCAGGAGGAACACCAGUGGCGAAGGCGGCUUCCUGGACACCAACUGACGCUGAGACGCGAAAGCGUGGGGAGCGAACAGG
rnacentral:rRNA from 1 species